UACGUAGGGGCCGAGCGUUGUCCGGAGUUAUUGGGCGUAAAGCGCGCGCAGGCGGCUUCGCGCGUCCGACGUGAAAGCCCCCGGCUUAACCGGGGAGGGUCGUUGGGUACGGCGGAGCUUGAGGGCGGGAGAGGGUGGUGGAAUUCCCGGUGUAGUGGUGAAAUGCGUAGAGAUCGGGAGGAACACCUGUGGCGAAGGCGGCCACCUGGGCCGACCCUGACGCUGAGG
rnacentral:rRNA from 1 species